rnacentral:lncRNA from 1 species
AUGAGGAGGGGGAUGAAGAUGAGAAUGAAGAUGAGGAUAGGGAUGAAGAUGAGGAGGAUGAGGAGCAGGAUGGAGAUGGAGAUGAAGAUGAGGAUGAGGAAGAUGUGGAUGGGGAUGAAGAUGAGGAUGAGGAAGAUGUGGAUGGGGAUGAAGAUGAGGAUAAGGAGGAUGAUGAGGAUGGGGACAGAGAUGAAGAUGAGGAUAAGGCUAAGAAUAGGGAUAAAAAUGAGGAUAAUGAAGACGAGAAUAGGGCUGAACAUGAGGAUGGGGAUGAAGAGGAUGAUGAAGAUGAGGAUAGGGCGGAAAAUGAGGAUGAUGAAGAUCAGGAUGGGGAUGAAGAUGAGGAUGAUGAAGAUGAGGAUGAGGAUGAUAGGGCUGAAGAUGAGGACAGGGAUAAAGAUGAGGAUAGGGAUGAGGAUGGGGCUGAAGAUGAGGAGGAGGCGGAUAGGGCUGAAGGUGACGAUGAUGAAGAUGAAGAUAGGGAUGAAGAUGAGGAUGGGGCUGAAGCUGAAGAUGAGGAGUAUAGGGAUGAAGAUGAGGAUGAUGAAGGGGCUGAAGAAGCUGAGGAUGAGGAGAAUAAGGAUAGGGAUGAUGAUGAGGAGGAGGAGAAUGGGGCUGAAGAUGAUGAGGAGGGCCGAGGCCGAAGAUGGGGAAGAGGAAGAUGAGAUGGGGAUGAAGCUGAGGAUGAUGAUGAUGAGGAGGAGGAGGAUAGGGCUGAAGAUGAGGAUGGGGAUGAAGAUGAUGAGGAGGAGUGGGAAAGGGCUGAAUAUGAAGAUGAUGAAGAUGAGGAUGGGGAUGAAGAUGAGGAUGAUGAAGAUGAGGAUGAUGAAGAUGAGGAUAGGGGUAAAGAUGAGGCUGAGGAUGAUGAUGAGGAUGGGGAUGAAGCUGAGGACGAUGAAGAUGAGGAUGGGGAUAAAGAUAAGGAUGAGGAGGAUAAGGAUGGGGAUGGGGAUGAAGAUGAAGCUGAGGAUGAUGAUGAUGAAGAUGAAGAUGAUGAUGAUGACGAUGAGGCCGAAGGCCGAAUCCUGCAUCUCACCAUGUCCCCUAUUGCCGCCCCCUCCCCUAUUGAUGCUGACGGGGGCGGCCCCGGGCCGGGCUCGAUGGAAAUGAUGGACGGGGGCGGCUCCUCGGGCUCGAUGUGACGCCGAUAAAGACGAGGAAACACGAGCCCCCCCAGCGCCGCCCCCCCCCCCUAAAAGCAACCCCAGAGCCAGCAGGACACGGAGCGCCAUCUUACUNGAGGAGGAGAAGGAGGAGGAGGAGGAGGAGGAGGAGGAGGAGGAUAGGGCUGAAGAUGAGGAUGGGGAUGAAGGUGAGGAUGAUGAUGAUGAGGAUAGGGAUAAAGAUGAGGACGGAGCUGAAGUAGCUGAGGAUGAUGAAGAUGAGGAUGAAGAUGAGGAUGGGGAAGAAAAUGAGGAGGAGGAGGAGACAGAUGGGGAUGAAGAUGAGAAUGAUAAAGAUGAGGACGGGGAUGAAGCUGAGGAUGAUGAAGGACAAGGAUGGGGAUGAAGAAGCGGCAAAUGAUGAUGAUGAGGAUGGGGAUGAAGAUGAGGAUAGGGCUGAAGAUGAGGAUGAGGAGGAUGAGGAGGUGUAGGAAGGGGCUGAAGAUGAGGAUGGGGAUGAAGAUGAGGAUGAUGAGGAUAGGGAUAAAGAUGAGGAUGAUGAAGAUGAUGAUGGGGCUGAAGAUGAGGAUGAUGAAGAUGAGGAUAGGGAUGAAGCUGAGGGCGAUGAAGAUGAGGAUGGGGAUGAAGAUGAUGAUGAUGAGGAUAGGGAAAAGAUGAGGCUGAGGAUGAUGAGGAUGAAGAUGAGGAUGAUGAAGAUGAGGAUGGGGAUAAAGAUGAGGAUGAUGAAGAUGAAGAUGGGGAUGAAGAUGAUGAUGAUGAGGAUGAGGAGGAGGAGGAGGAGGACAGGGCUUAAGAUGAGCAUAGGGCUGAAGAUGAGGAUGAGGAUGAAGAUGAAGAUGAGGAUGAUGAUGAUGAGGAUAGGGAUGAAGAUGAGGAUGGGGAUGAAGAUGAGGAUGAUGAAGAUGAGGAUGGGGAUGAAGAUGAUGAUGAUGAAGAUGAGGAUGGGGAUGAAGAUGAGGAUGAAGAUGAUGAGGACAGGGAUGAAG